AGAUGGCGACCGGCGCACGGGUGAGUAACACGUAUCCAACCUGCCGAUAACUCGGGGAUAGCCUUUCGAAAGAAAGAUUAAUACCCGAUGGCAUAAUGGAACCGCAUGGUUUGAUUAUUAAAGAAUUUCGGUUAUCGAUGGGGAUGCGUUCCAUUAGGCAGUUGGUGGGGUAACGGCCCACCAAACCUUCGAUGGAUAGGGGUUCUGAGAGGAAGGUCCCCCACAUUGGAACUGAGACACGGUCCAA
rnacentral:rRNA from 1 species